GAAAUGCGAUAAGUAGUGUGAAUUGCAGAAUUCAGUGAAUCAUCGAAUCUUUGAACGCACAUUACGCCCCUUGGUAUUCCAUGGGGCAUGCCUGUUCGAGCGUCAUUUGUACCCUCAAGCUCUGCUUGGUGUUGGGUGUUUGUCCCGUCUCCGCGCGUGGACUCGCCCCAAAGUGAUUGGCAGCCGGCGUACUGGUCCCGGAGCGCAGCACAUGUCGCGCAAACGAGUGCCUUGGUACGGCGGCGUCCAUAAGCCCCUCUCUCACGCUCUUGACCUCGGAUCAGGUAGGGAUACCCGCUGAACUUAAGC
rnacentral:misc_RNA from 1 species